GACGAACGCUGGCGGCGUGCCUAAUACAUGCAAGUUGAGCGAUGAAGCUUGGUGCUUGCACCAAUUUGAAGAGCAGCGAACGGGUGAGUAACGCGUGGGGAAUCUGCCUUUGAGCGGGGGACAACAUUUGGAAACGAAUGCUAAUACCGCAUAACAACUUUAAACAUAAGUUUUAAGUUUGAAAGAUGCAAUUGCAUCACUCAAAGAUGAUCCCGCGUUGUAUUAGCUAGUUGGUGAGGUAAAGGCUCACCAAGGCGAUGAUACAUAGCCGACCUGAGAGGGUGAUCGGCCACAUUGGGACUGAGACACGGCCCAAACUCCUACGGAAGGCAGCAGUAGGGAAUCUUCGGCAAUGGACGAAAGUCUGACCGAGCAACGCCGCGUGAGUGAAGAAGGUUUUCGGAUCGUAAAACUCUGUUGGUAGAGAAGAACGUUGGUGAGAGUGGAAAGCUCAUCAAGUGACGGUAACUACCCAGAAAGGGACGGCUAACUACGUG
rnacentral:rRNA from 1 species